rnacentral:lncRNA from 1 species
GAGCAUGUGUGCAGUGGGGGUGUUGGUGUGCUGAGUGUGGUUCUGAACAGUGAGUGUAGGUGUGUGAGAGGCUGAGUGAAUGUGUAUGUGAACGCAGUGGUGAUGUGCAUGGGGGCUGGGGGCUGCUGUGGUGUGCAUGCUGUGUUUGGCUGGGUGAUGGUGUGGCAGUGGCUGGGAUGCCUGUGUGCCUGUGGUGAACCCCCCCGACCCCCAAUGAGGGGCCGAGGUGCAGACGGGGACAGGGAAGGUGGAGCAGCUGUGGCCAGGGCUCUGUGGGGCCAGCAUCCCUGGCAGUUAGGCCCUCCCCCAGCUGUGAAGACCCCACAGCUGGAAGCCAUCGGUGCACCCCCCCUCCCCAUCCCGUGAUGGCUUUUGGGGGUUGCACUUGCCUUUUCAGUUCCCUCAGGUUUGAAGCCCUCUCCUCAAGCCCCAUCCCCACUCUCUUUUCUACUGCCCAGAGCAGACACCAAAAUAUUUCUGCAUUUCCUCUGGAAAAAUCCUGGGAGGUCUGUUUAUGGCAGUAGCUGAGGAGUGCACAUCUGUACACAGUUUAGCUGGGACAGCUGGAAACUCAGGAACUGGAGUUUGCUUGCAUUUGGAGCACAUGGGUGCACACGGUGGCCCCCAUUCCAUCCUUCCCCAUAUUUGCAGGGUCAGGUCCUGUUGCUAUAGACAGAUAACCCCCCACUGUCCCUGUAUGCACACACCCACACAUGCAGACACACUCUGGCACACACUUGAUUUCAGGAGGACUCACAGAGGCACAGACAUGGAAUGGAUGAGGUGGCACAGAGGACUUAGUGCACAUAGGUAUGCUGGCAUAUUUGAAGAGCACACUUGGCACAAGCUUGGCUCCUCCAGCCCUGGAGGCCCCUCGCAGUGCACAGAAGCAGCAUCCUUGAACCUGUCACCCACAAGCUCCAUCUACAGCCCCAGACACGCAGGACAGCACAUGGUGACUCAGCACGCCCACUCGCAACCCUGAGGCAUGGGAGAAGGCGUGACUCAUCUCCAGCCUCCUACAGAAACCCACCUCGAGCCAGUCAGAGCCCCAACACUCAACUUUGGGCAAGGCCUGCCCUCCCCUGGGAGACCUGAGUACUCCGCAGCCUGGGAAGGUCCCUGUUCUUCCCCAUCAUGCCCUUUCCCUGACAGAGGCUGGGCCCUCAGCUGUAUUAUAUGUCCCUCUGUAGGGCAGGGGAGGACAGGGGAAUCGAGGACGCCCAAUUCUGACCUGCCUCUUACCCUCCUUCUGUUCCUGCACCCCAGAUCUUUCCAGAAGCCCAGGAAGUUCUGGGGCCACUCAUCUUACCAGUCUUCCCUCUUCCCUCCACCCCUGUCAGGAACUCAUCCUUCCUCAGUCCCCAACACUGCACCCUCCUUCUGCCCCCUCUUCUGGCUCCUCCUUCUGCCUCCCUCUUUCCUCUGGCUCCAUCUUCUCCCUUAGCCCCAGGCCUCCCAGAUUCCAGCAAAUCUUCAUGGUCAGGAUAGGAAUUUGCUCUUUAG